GUCUCAUGUUCCAAUUUGGCAAAGUACUCAUUUAGAACAAUUGACCCAGGAGUUACAACUGUGCCUGAAGACCUUCAAUGAGACAAGGUUGCAUCUAUCUGCAAUUCUAAACAGCUAUUUAGGGUCUUGGAGAACUAAGAUUCUCUCAGUGUGGAAGAAAUGAGAUACAGAUGCAACAGAGAAGAGAUUAAGCAACAAAACCUUUAGACCUGAUUUGAAUGUAAAAUAUCAGUAUGAAUACCUGAAGUUUUUUGUCUUAAAAAAUUACAAAUGAAUAUUUUCUAUCUCUUUUGA